UGCUCAGUGGACUCGGCAAGAGACAAUGAGAGCACAAACGUAAAAAAAAAUCACACCUAGCAGAGUGGAAAGGAUCGGGGAAAAACACAUUUCUCCUUAUUUUAGUGAAGUGUGCUCACCUGGCACGCACGCUGACAGUAUCAAAGAAUAGCUGGAAGACUUUUUGUGGUGGUUCUUAUCAGUGAAGAUGUUAUCUGUUCAUCUCAUUUCCUUCUUUUUCUCCAAACUCCAGGAGGACCCCACAAAGAAGGUCGACAGGUUUCUGCAUGUCCAUCUUUUAUACAGUCAUUGGUGGGACAUGACAACAGCGCCACCUGCAGGAAGAUUUUCUCUCUGUCUGAUACCUUGUGUUCUGAGACCUGAUGACUUUUUUCCUGAGAACUGAGACCUGACAUUUUUUUGUCUGAUACCUGACGACUUUUUUCCUGACAACUGAGACCUGAUAAUUUUUUGUCUGAUACCUGACGACUUUUUUCCUGACAACUGAGACCUGACAUUUUUUUGUCUGAUACCUGAUGACUUUUUUCCUGAGACCUGACGAUGUCCUAAAAUGUACACCGUAGUCCCCUACGGUGUACAUUUUAGGACAUCGUCUGUGGGAAGGAAAAAGUGUGGCAGAAAACGCUGCACAAUAAGAAGAGGUGACCGGACCCUGAGGAAGAUUGUGAUUCCAGACCCUGGGGGACCUGCGGAAGACGUGGACUGAGUCUGGAGUAGAAACAUCCAGAGCCACCGUGUACAGGCGUGUGCAGGAAUUAUUGAGUGCAUAACUGAACAUAAUUAUUUGAAGGUUGACUUUUUUUGUAUUGAAAACACUUUUCUUUUAUUGGUUGGAUGAAAUAUGCUAAUUUUUUUGAGAUAGGAAUUUUGGGUUUUCAUGAGUUAUGUAUGCCAAAAUCAUCAAUAUUAAAACAACGAAAGGCUUGAACUACUUCAGUUGUGUGUAAUGAAUCUAAAAUAUAUGAACGUCUAAUGUUUAUCAGUACAUUACAGGAAAUAAUGUACUUUAUCACAAUAUGCUAAUUUUUUGAGAAGGACCUGUAUAUGAAAUUUGAAAGAUACUGGACCCUGAGGUCUGAUGCGAUGACAAACGCAGACACUGAAUCUAAACGUUUUGAGAGGACAAAGUGAAAACUCUGAUUUGAUAAACAGUAUUCUUUCAAGUGUUUUGUAGUGGAGGCCAGUAGAAUUAAAAGGCGAGUAAUGAGUCUGAAGAUUUGCAGAACAUCUCUCCAAACAUUAGUGACAUACAAACAGAAAGCACAAGUCCCGCCAAAAGACAUGCUGUUCUAUGAUUUUUUUUAUUUCAACAUGCUGACAUUAGUCUGUUUUUAUUACAAUAUGAUGAUGUGUGCAGUUUUCCCAGAUUAUGUGUGUUUAUAUCAUCCUGAUGACAUCAGUGGUUUCUAUGGAUUAUGCUGAUGUCAGCAUUGUUAAUAUGGAAAUAUAUAGUAUAGUAUAUUAAUCUUUUUGUGUCACUGUGAAGUCAUGUGGCCCUAACCUAUGACAUUGAAGUAUUACAUACUAAAAAUGGUGUAUAUUAUUAUUUUUAUCAACAUGAGUGGAGCAGAAUUGGCUGAAAUCUUUGGCUCAUGUCUCCAAAGGUCUGUUACAUUGUUGUGAUGCACAAUUUUUAUUUAUUUAUUUAUUUAUUUUUACUUAUUUUCACAUUUAGUGCAAUCUUAACCUGAUUUUCACCAACAUUAAUUACAUAAUUUCUCCUUUUGGGGGAGAAUAAAAUGGGAUGAUUCAUCAAAAAUAACUGCAGGAAUAAAAUAUAGAAAAAAUGAAAUAUUCAGUUUUUAAUUAAUUGGGUCGCAUUCAUUAAUAAAAAAUUCCAAAACAAAAAA
ensembl:lncRNA